GAUGAACGCUGGCGGCGUGCCUAAUACAUGCAAGUCGAGCGAACAGAUGAGGAGCUUGCUCCUCUGACGUUAGCGGCGGACGGGUGAGUAACACGUGGAUAACCUACCUAUAAGACUGGGAUAACUUCGGGAAACCGGAGCUAAUACCGGAUAAUAUAUUGAACCGCAUGGUUCAAUAGUGAAAGACGGUUUUGCUGUCACUUAUAGAUGGAUCCGCGCCGCAUUAGCUAGUUGGUAAGGUAACGGCUUACCAAGGCGACGAUGCGUAGCCGACCUGAGAGGGUGAUCGGCCACACUGGAACUGAGACACGGUCCAGACUCCUACGGGAGGCAGCAGUAGGGAAUCUUCCGCAAUGGGCGAAAGCCUGACGGAGCAACGCCGCGUGAGUGAUGAAGGUCUUCGGAUCGUAAAACUCUGUUAUUAGGGAAGAACAAAUGUGUAAGUAACGAUGCACGUCUUGACGGUACCUAAGCAGAAAGCCACGGCUAACUACGU
rnacentral:rRNA from 1 species